GCCGGUGUGGUGGAAUGGCAGACACAAGGGACUUAAAAUCCCUCGGCGUAACAACCGUGCGGGUUCGACCCCCGCCACCGGCACCA
rnacentral:tRNA from 1 species